AUUGAACGCUGGCGGCAGGCCUAACACAUGCAAGUCGGGCGGAUGAAGGGAGCUUGCUCCUGGAUUCAGCGGCGGACGGGUGAGUAAUGCCUAGGAAUCUGCCUGGUAGUGGGGGAUAACGUCCGGAAACGGGCGCUAAUACCGCAUACGUCCUGAGGGAGAAAGUGGGGGAUCUUCGGACCUCACGCUAUCAGAUGAGCCUAGGUCGGAUUAGCUAGUUGGUGGGGUAAAGGCCUACCAAGGCGACGAUCCGUAACUGGUCUGAGAGGAUGAUCAGUCACACUGGAACUGAGACACGGUCCCGACUCCUACGGGAGGCAGCAGUGGGGAAUAUUGGACAAUGGGCGAAAGCCUGAUCCAGCCAUGCCGCGUGUGUGAAGAAGGUCUUCGGAUUGUAAAGCACUUUAAGUUGGGAGGAAGGGCAGUAAGUUAAUACCUUGCUGUUUUGACGUUACCAACAGAAUAAGCACCGGCUAACUUCGUG
rnacentral:rRNA from 1 species